UAAGGAAUAUUGGUCAAUGGACGCAAGUCUGAACCAGCCAUGCCGCGUGAAGGAUGAAGGUCCUCUGGAUUGUAAACUUCUUUUAUCUGGGACGAAAACGGGAUUUUUAUCUCAAUUGACGGUACCAGAGGAAUAAGCACCGGCUAACUCCAUGCCAGCAGCCGCGGUAAUAAGGAGGGUGCGAGCGUUAUCCGGAUUUACUGGGUUUAAAGGGUGCGUAGGUGGGCUUAUAAGUCAGUGGUGAAAUCUCCGAGCUUAACUUGGAAACUGCCGUUGAUACUAUAGGUCUUGAAUUAUCUGGAGGUAAGCGGAAUAUGUCAUGUAGCGGUGAAAUGCUUAGAUAUGACAUAGAACACCAAUUACGAAGGCAGCUUACUACAUAUAAAUUGACGCUGAGGCACGAAAGCGUGGGGAUCAAACA
rnacentral:rRNA from 1 species